rnacentral:tRNA from 1 species
GAAAUAGCUCAGCUUGGUAGAGCACAUGGUUUGGGACCAUGGGGUCGCAGGUUCGAAUCCUGUUUUCC